rnacentral:rRNA from 1 species
CUACCAUGCAGUCGACGAUGAAGCCCUUCGGGGUGGAUUAGUGGCGAACGGGUGAGUAACACGUGGGCAAUCUGCCCUUCACUCUGGGACAAGCCCUGGAAACGGGGUCUAAUACCGGAUAACACUCUGUCCCUCAUGGGGCGGGGUUAAAAGCUCCGGCGGUGAAGGAUGAGCCCGCGGCCUAUCAGCUUGUUGGUGGGGUAAUGGCCUACCAAGGCGACGACGGGUAGCCGGCCUGAGAGGGCGACCGGCCACACUGGGACUGAGACACGGCCCAGACUCCUACGGGAGGCAGCAGUGGGGAAUAUUGCACAAUGGGCGAAAGCCUGAUGCAGCGACGCCGCGUGAGGGAUGACGGCCUUCGGGUUGUAAACCUCUUUCAGCAGGGAAGAAGCGAAAGUGACGGUACCUGCAGAAGAAGCGCCGGCUAACUACGUGCCAGCAGCCGCGGUAAUACGUAGGGCGCAAGCGUUGUCCGGAAUUAUUGGGCGUAAAGAGCUCGUAGGCGGCUUGUCACGUCGGAUGUGAAAGCUCGGGGCUUAACCCCGAGUCUGCAUUCGAUACGGGCUAGCUAGAGUGUGGUAGGGGAGAUCGGAAUUCCUGGUGUAGCGGUGAAAUGCGCAGAUAUCAGGAGGAACACCGGUGGCGAAGGCGGAUCUCUGGGCCAUUACUGACGCUGAGGAGCGAAAGCGUGGGGAGCGAACAGGAUUAGAUACCCUGGUAGUCCACGCCGUAAACGUUGGGAACUAGGUGUUGGCGACAUUCCACGUCGUCGGUGCCGCAGCUAACGCAUUAAGUUCCCCGCCUGGGGAGUACGGCCGCAAGGCUAAAACUCAAAGGAAUUGACGGGGGGCCCGCACAAGCAGCGGAGCAUGUGGCUUAAUUUCGACGCAACGCGAAGAACCUUUACCAAAGGGCUUUGACAUAUACCGGAAAGCAUCAGAGAUGGUGCCCCCCUUGUGGUCGGUAUACAGGUGGUGCAUGGCUGUCGUCAGCUCGUGUCGUGAGAUGUUGGGUUAAGUCCCGCAACGAGCGCAACCCUUGUUCUGUGUUGCCAGCAUGCCCUUCGGGGUGAUGGGGACUCACAGGAGACUGCCGGGGUCAACUCGGAGGAAGGUGGGGACGACGUCAAGUCAUCAUGCCCCUUAUGUCUUGGGCUGCACACGUGCUACAAUGGCCGGUACAAUGAGCUGCGAUGCCGCGAGGCGGAGCGAAUCUCAAAAAGCCGGUCUCAGUUCGGAUUGGGGUCUGCAACUCGACCCCAUGAAGUCGGAGUUGCUAGUAAUCGCAGAUCAGCAUUGCUGCGGUGAAUACGUUCCCGGGCCUUGUACACACCGCCCGUCACGUCACGAAAGUCGGUAACACCCGAAGCCGGUGGCCCAACCCCUUGUGGGAGGGAGCUGUCGAAGGUGGGACUGGCGAUUGGACGAAGUCGUAACAAGU